GGAUAGCGGAGAAAUUCCAAUCGAACUCGGAGAUAGCUGGUUCUCCUCGAAAUAGUUUUAGGACUAGCCUUGUUUAGUAGUAUGUGGGGGUAGAGCACUGAAUGAGCUAGGGGCCAAACCAGGUUACUGAACUCUAUCAAACUCCGAAUACCAUGUACGUAAGAACAGGAGUCAGACUGCGGGAGCUAAGUUCCGUGGUCAAAAGGGAAAGAGCCCAGAUCGUCAAUUAAGGUCCCAAAGAUAUAGUUAAGUGGAAAACGAUGUGAUUUUGCGUAAACAACCAGGAUGUUGGCUUAGAAGCAGCCAUUCAUUUAAAGAGUGCGUAAUAGCUCACUGGUCGAGUGGAGUUGCGCGGAAAAUUACCGGGGCUAAACUAUACACCGAAAUUGCGGAUUCAUGAGUAAUCAUGAGUGGUAGAGGAGCAUUCUAUAGUAGGACGAAGGUAGAUCGAAAGGACUGCUGGACGAGAUAGAAGAGAGAAUGCCGGAAUAAGUAGCGAAAGCAUGGUGAGAAUCCAUGCCAUCGAAAGUCUAAGGUUUCCUGGGGAAGGUUCGUCCGCCCAGGGUAAGUCGGGACCUAAGGAGAGGCCGAAAGGCGUAUCUGAUGGACAGCAGGUAGAAAUUCCUGCACCACCGAUAUACUUAAAAAAUGCAAGGGACACAGUAGUGGAAGGAAAGCGAGGAAGAGGAAAGACUCGUAUCGAAAGAUAUAGUGAAAAAAUAAGUAACGAAUUUCCAAGAAGCACACUGGCGAGAAAAGCUUGUAGGAAUUGUAUAAAGGUGCCCGUACCGCAAACCGACACAGGUAGAUGAGGAGAGGAUCCUAAGAUGAGCGAGAGAAGCAUUGUUAAGGAACUCGGCAAAUUGACCCCGUAACUUAGGGAGAAGGGGUGCCAAAGUAAAAUUUGGUCGCAGAGAAGAGGCCCAAGCAACUGUUUAACAAAAACACAGGUUUCUGCUAAAUCGAAAGAUGAAGUAUAGGAGCUGACGCCUGCCCAGUGCUGGAAGGUUAAGGGGAAGAGUUAGAUGUAAGUCGAAGCUUAGAACCAAAGCCCCAGUGAACGGCGGCCGUAACUAUAACGGUCCUAAGGUAGCGAAAUUCCUUGUCAGGUAAGUUCUGACCCGCACGAAAGGCGUAAUGAUUUGGGCGCUGUCUCGACAAUGUACUCGGCGAAAUUGUAGUACUAGUGAAGAUGCUAGUUACCUGCGACAAGACAGAAAGACCCCAUGGAGCUUUACUGUAGCUUGAUACUGGGUUUCGAUAAUUUAUGUACAGGAUAGGUGGGAGGCGAAGAAGCAAUUGCGCCAGCAGUUGUGGAGUCAUCCUUGGGAUACCACCCUUAAGUUAUUGAAAUUCUAACCUGUAGUCCUGAGCGGGCUAGGGGACAAUGUCAGGCGGGCAGUUUGACUGGGGCGGUCGCCUCCAAAAGAGUAACGGAGGCGCUCAAAGGUUCGUUCAGCACGGACGGAAAUCGUGCAUUGAGUGUAAACGCAUAAACGAGCCUAACUGCGAGACCGACGGGUCGAGCAGUAACGAAAGUUGGAGUUAGUGAUCCGGUGGUAUGUGAGUGGAAAUGCCAUCGCUCAACGGAUAAAAGCUACCCUGGGGAUAACAGGCUGAUCUCCCCCAAGAGUUCACAUCGACGGGGAGGUUUGGCACCUCGAUGUCGGCUCAUCACAUCCUGGGGCUGUAGUAGGUCCCAAGGGUUGGGCUGUUCGCCCAUUAAAGUGGUACGCGAGCUGGGUUCAGAACGUCGUGAGACAGUUCGGUCCUUAUCUGUCGCAGGCGAAGGAUAUUUGAGGGGAGUUGACCUUAGUACGAGAGGACCAGGUUGAACUUACCAAUGGUGUAUCAGUUGUCGUACCAACGGCACGGCUGAGUAGCUAAGUAGGGAAGGGAUAAACGCUGAAAGCAUCUAAGUGUGAAGCCCACCCCAAGAUAAGAUAUCCCAUACCGUAAGGUAGUAAGAUUCCACGUAGACUAUGUGGUAGAUAGGUUGGAGGUGUAAGUGCAGUAAUGCAUUAAGCUGACCAAUACUAAUAAAUCGAGGGCUUAACCAC
rnacentral:rRNA from 1 species